AGUCGAGCGGCAGCGGAAGUAGCUUGCUACUUUGCCGGCGAGUGGCGGACGGGUGAGUAAUGUCUGGGGAACUGCCUGAUGGAGGGGGAUAACUACUGGAAACGGUAGCUAAUACCGCAUAACGUCGCAAGACCAAAGAGGGGGACCUUCGGGCCUCUUGCCAUCAGAUGUGCCCAGAUGGGAUUAGCUAGUAGGUGGGGUAACGGCUCACCUAGGCGACGAUCCCUAGCUGGUCUGAGAGGAUGACCAGCCACACUGGAACUGAGACACGGUCCAGACUCCUACGGGAGGCAGCAGUGGGGAAUAUUGCACAAUGGGCGCAAGCCUGAUGCAGCCAUGCCGCGUGUAUGAAGAAGGCCUUCGGGUUGUAAAGUACUUUCAGCGGGGAGGAAGGCGCUGAGGUUAAUAACCUCAGCGAUUGACGUUACCCGCAGAAGAAGCACCGGCUAACUCCGUGCCAGCAGCCGCGGUAAUACGGAGGGUGCAAGCGUUAAUCGGAAUUACUGGGCGUAAAGCGCACGCAGGCGGUCUGUCAAGUCGGAUGUGAAAUCCCCGGGCUCAACCUGGGAACUGCAUUCGAAACUGGCAGGCUAGAGUCUUGUAGAGGGGGGUAGAAUUCCAGGUGUAGCGGUGAAAUGCGUAGAGAUCUGGAGGAAUACCGGUGGCGAAGGCGGCCCCCUGGACAAAGACUGACGCUC
rnacentral:rRNA from 1 species